UUACAGACCUUGUUGGCCGAGUUCCGUGAUCAAGAAGACGGAGCCGGAGAACGGGAGACCUGCAUUGCACACCGUGGCGUCGACCGUUCUGGUUUGUCCUUCGGGGCCAACCCUGGCGGAAUUUUUGAUAACCCACCCUUUUUUUUCAUUGUGUU
rnacentral:snRNA from 1 species